UACGGAGGGAGCUAGCGUUGUUCGGAAUCACUGGGCGUAAAGCGCACGUAGGCGGAUUGUUAAGUCAGGGGUGAAAUCCUGGAGCUCAACUCCAGAACUGCCUUUGAUACUGGCGAUCUCGAGUCCGGGAGAGGUGAGUGGAACUGCGAGUGUAGAGGUGAAAUUCGUAGAUAUUCGCAAGAACACCAGUGGCGAAGGCGGCUCACUGGCCCGGUACUGACGCUGAGGUGCGAAAGCGUGGGGAGCAACAGG
rnacentral:rRNA from 1 species